GCCUUAGAUGUUCUGGGCCGCACGCGCGCUACACUGAUGCAUUCAACAAGCCUAGCCUUGACCGAGAGGUCCGGGUAAUCUUUGAAACUGCAUCGUGAUGGGGCUAGAUUAUUGCAAUUAUUAAUCUUCAACGAGGAAUGCCUAGUAAGCGUGAUUCAUCAAAUCGCGUUGAUUACGUCCCUGCCCUUUGUACACACCGCCCGUCGCUCCUACCGAUUGAAUGUGUUGGUGAGGAGCUCGGAUUGGCAGCAGUUGGUGGUUCGCCACCGGCUAUUGCUGAGAAGUCCUCCAAACCGCCCCAUUUAGAGGAAGGAGAAGUCGUAACA
rnacentral:rRNA from 1 species